rnacentral:rRNA from 1 species
GAAUAUUGGACAAUGGGGGCAACCCUGAUCCAGCCAUGCCGCGUGUUUGAGGAAGGUCUUCGGAUCGUAAAGCAUUUUAAGUGGGGAGGAAGGGCUUUAGGUUAAUACCUUGAGGUCUUGACGUUACCAACAGAAUACGCACCGGCUAACUCUGUGCCAGCAGCCGCGGUAAUACAGAGGGUGCAAGCGUUAAUCGGAAUUACUGGGCGUAAAGCGCGCGUAGGUGGUUCAGUAAGAUGGGUGUGAAAUCCCCGGGCUUAACCUGGGAACUGCUUUCAUAACUGCUGAGCUAGAGUACGGUAGAGGGUAGUGGAAUUUCCUGUGUAGCGGUGAAAUGCGUAGAUAUAGGAAGGAACACCAGUGGCGAAGGCGACUACCUGGACUGAUACUGACACUGAGGUGCGAAAGCGUGGGGAGCAAACA